AUGCACGCUGGCGGCGUGCCUCAUCCAUGCAAGUCGAGCGAACAGACGAGGAGCUUGCUCCUCUGACGUUAGCGGCGGACGGGUGAGUAACACGUGGAUAACCUACCUAUAAGACUGGGAUAACUUCGGGAAACCGGAGCUAAUACCGGAUAAUAUAUUGAACCGCAUGGUUCAAUAGUGAAAGACGGUUUUGCUGUCACUUAUAGAUGGAUCCGCGCCGCAUUAGCUAGUUGGUAAGGUAACGGCUUACCAAGGCGACGAUGCGUAGCCGACCUGAGAGGGUGAUCGGCCACACUGGAACUGAGACACGGUCCAGACUCCUACGGGAGGCAGCAGUAGGGAAUCUUCCGCAAUGGGCGAAAGCCUGACGGAGCAACGCCGCGUGAGUGAUGAAGGUCUUCGGAUCGUAAAACUCUGUUAUUAGGGAAGAACAAAUGUGUAAGUAACUAUGCACGUCUUGACGGUACCUAAUCAGAAAGCCACGGCUAACUACGUG
rnacentral:rRNA from 1 species